AUGAACGCUAGCUACAGGGCUUUAACACAUGCAAGUCGAGGGGCAGCAUGGUCUUAGCUUGCUAAGGCCGAUGGCGACCGGCGCACGGUGAGUAACACGUAUCCAACCUGCCGUCUACUCUUGGACAGCCUUCUGAAAGGAAGAUUAAUACAAGAUGGCAUCAUGAGUCCGCAUGUUCACAUGAUUAAAGGUAUUCCGGUAGACGAUGGGGAUGCGUUCCAUUAGAUAGUAGGCGGGGUAACGGCCCACCUAGUCUUCGAUGGAUAGGGGUUCUGAGAGGAAGGUCCCCCACAUUGGAACUGAGACACGGUCCAAACUCCUACGGGAGGCAGCAGUGAGGAAUAUUGGUCAAUGGGCGAGAGCCUGAACCAGCCAAGUAGCGUGAAGGAUGACUGCCCUAUGGGUUGUAAACUUCUUUUAUAAAGGAAUAAAGUCGGGUAUGGAUACCCGUUUGCAUGUACUUUAUGAAUAAGGAUCGGCUAACUCCGUG
rnacentral:rRNA from 1 species